CAGGCAUUGGAUGUCGAAUGGAUUCUUCCACUGAUCAAAAUCCAAUAUGGCGGACUCAAUGUCUACAGACUCCAGAUGGAAAAAGACAGAGAAAGAAAUUCUAAAGGGGUAUUCAAGGACCCAUCCUCCUCCACACUAAUUCAUAUUGGAAGGAAUUAACAUCCAACUUGAAUGAACAAUUACAGACUUCCAGAACAGACCCUUUAAAAAAAGAAGCCAGAUCUUCAGAAGACUUCCUUGAAAAUGAGAAUAUUUUGAGUGGAAGUGAAGAAUAUGAGAUGCAUACAAGCAGACAUCAGCAUUCCCUCCCUCUUGUUUGUGUAAGUAAAACCUUCAUGAAUAUAAAACUUUAGAUGAAAAGGGAAAUAUAUUGACAUUCAAAAUUCACAGUUGGUUGUUCAUCUUCUGCAAAAAUUACAGACUUGUUUCAUUAUUUAUCUAUGAUAAAAUACAUGUCACGACAUGAUUAAUAUUUAUGAUAUAUGUGCAUUGUGUAUUUACUACUAUUCCUGAUCCAUAUCAAUGCAAAUCUUUACUGAUUAUACUGAUGUUUUGUGAUAUUGUUUUUAAUUUUUAGAUCAGAGGUGAGCUUUUUGAGAAA